UACGUAGGGUGCGAGCGUUGUCCGGAAUUAUUGGGCGUAAAGAGCUUGUAGGCGGUCUGUCGCGUCUGCUGUGAAAAUCCGGGGCUCAACCCCGGGCCGCAGUGGGGUACGGGCAGACUAGAGUGCGGUAGGGGAGACUGGAAUUCCUGGUGUAGCGGUGAAAUGCGCAGAUAUCAGGAGGAACACCGGUGGCGAAGGCGGGUCUCUGGGCCGUAACUGACGCUGAGGAGCGAAAGCAUGGGUAGCGAACAGG
rnacentral:rRNA from 1 species